rnacentral:RNase_P_RNA from 2 species
CUAAAUGGUCAUGCAGUUGCGUGAUGAUAUAGCAAAGCUAUAGAUCACGAGGAAAGUCCGGACUCUAUAGAGGUAUGGUGCCGGCUAAUCUCCGGCAGAGUAUUAUUACUUUAGGGAAAGUACCACAGAAAAUAUACCGCCGCAAUAUUUCGGUAAGGGUGAAAAGGUACGGUAAGAGCGUACCGGUAAGUUGGUAACAAAUUACGCAUGGUAAACCCCACCAAGAGCAAGAUCAAAUAGGCAUUACAGAACUUGUGUUUCCAAGUUCCCGGGUUAUCUCUAACCGGCUUGUAAUGUGGGUAGAUCGCUUGAGGUAAACGGUAACGUUUAUCCUAGAUAAAUAACUGCAAUGAAUUUCUAUUCAUACAGAAUCCGGCUUAUAGACCUUAAAAAU